rnacentral:rRNA from 1 species
AUUGAACGCUGGCGGCAUGCUUUACACAUGCAAGUCGAACGGCAGCGCGGGCUUCGGCCUGGCGGCGAGUGGCGAACGGGUGAGUAAUGCAUCGGAACGUGCCCAGUAGUGGGGGAUAGCCCGGCGAAAGCCGGAUUAAUACCGCAUACGACCUGAGGGUGAAAGCGGGGGACCGAAAGGCCUCGCGCUAUUGGAGCGGCCGAUGUCGGAUUAGCUAGUUGGUGGGGUAAAGGCUUACCAAGGCGACGAUCCGUAGCUGGUCUGAGAGGACGACCAGCCACACUGGGACUGAGACACGGCCCAGACUCCCACGGGAGGCAGCAGUGGGGAAUUGUGGACAAGGGGGGCAACCCUGAUCCAGCCAUGCCGCGUGCGGGAAGAAGGCCUUCGGGUUGUAAACCGCUUUUGUUCGGGAAGAAAUCCUCUGGGCUAAUACCCCGGGGGGAUGACGGUACCGGAAGAAUAAGCACCGGCUAACUACGUG